AGAGUUUGAUCAUGGCUCAGGACGAACGCUGGCGGCGUGCUUAACACAUGCAAGUCGAACGAAGCAUUUAAGACAGAUUACUUCGGCUUGAAGUCUUUUAUGACCGAGUGGCAAACGGGUGAGUAACACGUAAACAACCUGCCUUCAGGGUGGGGACAACAGACGGAAACGGCUGCUAAUACCGAAUACGCUUGGAAGACCGCAUGAUCUUCCAAGGAAAGGGUGGCCUCUACCUGUAAGCUAUCGCCUGAAGAGGGGUUUGCGUCUGAUUAGGCAGUUGGUGAGGUAACGGCCCACCAAACCUACGAUCAGUAGCCGGUCUGAGAGGAUGAACGGCCACACUGGAACUGAGACACGGUCCAGACUCCUACGGGAGGCAGCAGUGGGGAAUCUUCCGCAAUGGGCGAAAGCCUGACGGAGCAACGCCGCGUGAGUGAUGACGGCCUUCGGGGUGUAAAGCUCUGUGAUCGGGGACGAACGGUCCGUAAGUCAAUACCUUAUGGAAGUGACGGUACCCGAAUAGCAAGCCACGGCUAACUACGUGCCAGCAGCCGCGGUAAUACGUAGGUGGCAAGCGUUGUCCGGAAUUAUUGGGCGUAAAGCGCGCGCAGGCGGCUUUCUAAGUCCAUCUUAAAAGUGCGGGGCUUAACCCCGUGAUGGGAUGGAAACUGGAAAGCUGGAGUAUCGGAGAGGAAAGUGGAAUUCCUAGUGUAGCGGUGAAAUGCGUAGAGAUUAGGAAGAACACCGGUGGCGAAGGCGACUUUCUGGACGACAACUGACGCUGAGGCGCGAAAGCGUGGGGAGCAAACAGGAUUAGAUACCCUGGUAGUCCACGCCGUAAACGAUGAAUACUAGGUGUAGGAGGUAUCGACCCCUUCUGUGCCGGAGCUAACACAAUAAGUAUUCCACCUGGGGAGUACGACCGCAAGGUUGAAACUCAAAGGAAUUGACGGGGGCCCGCACAAGCAGUGGAGUAUGUGGUUUAAUUCGACGCAACGCGAAGAACCUUACCAAGUCUUGACAUCCUGCGACGGUUCUGGAAACAGAACUUUCCUUCGGGACGCAGAGACAGGUGGUGCAUGGUUGUCGUCAGCUCGUGUCGUGAGAUGUUGGGUUAAGUCCCGCAACGAGCGCAACCCUUAUGGUCAGUUACUACGCAAGAGGACUCUGGCCAGACUGCCGUUGACAAAACGGAGGAAGGUGGGGAUGACGUCAAAUCAUCAUGCCCUUUAUGACUUGGGCUACACACGUACUACAAUGGCGUUAAACAAAGAGAAGCGAGACCGCGAGGUGGAGCAAAACUCAGAAACAACGUCCCAGUUCGGACUGCAGGCUGCAACUCGCCUGCACGAAGUCGGAAUUGCUAGUAAUCGUGGAUCAGCAUGCCACGGUGAAUACGUUCCCGGGCCUUGUACACACCGCCCGUCCCACCAUGAGAGCCGGGGGGACCCGAAGUCGGUAGUCUAACCGCAAGGAGGACGCCGCCGAAGGUAAAACUGGUGAUUGGGGUGAAGUCGUAACAAGGUA
rnacentral:rRNA from 1 species